GAUGAACGCUGGCGGCGUGCCUAAUACAUGCAAGUCGAGCGAACAGACGAGGAGCUUGCUCCUCUGACGUUAGCGGCGGACGGGUGAGUAACACGUGGAUAACCUACCUAUAAGACUGGGAUAACUUCGGGAAACCGGAGCUAAUACCGGAUAAUAUAUUGAACCGCAUGGUUCAAUAGUGAAAGACGGUUUUGCUGUCACUUAUAGAUGGAUCCGCGCCGCAUUAGCUAGUUGGUAAGGUAACGGCUUACCAAGGCAACGAUGCGUAGCCGACCUGAGAGGGGAAUCGGCAAAACGGGAACGGAGACACGGUCCAAACUCCUACGGAAGGCAGAGGUAGGAAAUUUUCCCAAUGGGCGAAAGCCUGACGGAGCAACGCCGCGUGAGUGAUGAAGGUCUUCGGAUCGUAAAACUCUGUUAUUAGGGAAGAACAAAUGUGUAAGUAACUAUGCACGUCUUGACGGUACCUAAUCAGAAAGCCACGGCUAACUACGUG
rnacentral:rRNA from 1 species